ACUGAGGCUGCAAAUCCUCAGAAGUUUGUUUCCUUUUUUCAGUUCAAACAUGAAUUUAUGAGAAAGACACAUUGUAUGUCCCCCACCUCUGCCUGUCCAGAGCCAUUUAUUUCAAAGCAAGAAGGUUUUUGUGCUCUGAAGUGGAAGUUUAAAAGGAAAUUAUCAGGAAUCCCAACAAACUUGCCACUGGCAAGAACAUUUAUUAGUGAGGCACUGCCAAAUCCCCCAAGCUGUCCAUGCACAAAGGGGUUGGGUGAUCCCUCGUGCAGCCCCCACAGCUGCAGCAGGGCUUGGCACAGCGUUUCUGCUGAAGAUGUGAGGGUUUGGUCCUGCAGGAGCAGCUGCAUGGGUUUUGCAAUGCAGGCACUCAGCUGCAGACUCCAAACUGUGAAUCCCUACUACCAGACUCUGAGCUCCUGAAGCUGAUUUUACCACUUCAAUAAUAAGGGAAAAUUAUGUGGAUUGGUAGCAGAAGAGUUAUAUGGUGAGUGGAGAGGAAUACAUCUCCAGAGCCACGUUACUGCUUCAGACACGGCUGCAGCAGGCGACAGCGCCCAGCUCUCCCAGCACAGACAGCUACAAUGAAUGACCCAAGAGGCCCUGGUAAGAGGCCACCAGGCCCUCCAGGAAGAGCAAGAGAGGCUGAGAAGGCAUUUUUCUGAUCAAAAUGUCUUCAGCUGCUCUACAGGGGCAGGAGCUGUAAGAUUUAUUUAUCAGGACAGCGUUUGUGGAACCUCCUGUCACUGCCCCCCAGGAUGAGAAGCAGCCUUCCAAGAGAGACAGGGUGGCUGCACUGGCCCCAAAAAGGUGCAGGAAGCACAUCAACAGUUGUUUGCAUUCGUGGUUUCAGUGGGGACAGGAUUUCUUAAUUAGCAAGACCUUCUGAAAAUAUCCUGGUACAGAACCACGGCUAAAAUCAACCAGCAGACAAAGCCAAGUGGAUUUCUGCACAUCUAAAGGCAGGAAAAGAAAUAGCACGAGAUCCUCGCAGUGCUGCAGAGGAGGAUUUUGUGGCUGCUGAGCAAAACCUGUGUGCAGCAUCUCUGCAUCCCGGGAAAGGUGGGAUGACCCAGUGGCUGGAGCAGAAAGAACAUCUUGGAUUACGUUGCUGCAAAUGAGAGAUUUCAGCAGUGGUAUCAGAUGAGCUGCAGGUAAGCAGCAGUUUAAUGUCUUUUUUGGCAGCUUCUUUAUUCUCUCUCCACUUUGCACAAACAAACCAUCUCUGUGAGGAAAUUAAUUUUCCUUUUGAGCCACAGCAUUUGUCAACAUGGCUUCCCAAUAAUCCUCUCCAUGGCAGCCACACCGAGCCCUCACCUCAAACCUGCUGCCCAGUCUGGUUCAUUAAGGGAUCUUCCCUCCUCUUGCAGGGCAGGAGCUGUGCCCUGCAAGGAUCCUAAAUCCCAGCGUGACACUCAGCUACCCUUAACUCCUUCCUAAUCAGCCCUGUGGAAUUAGGGUGACAGGGAAUGAAACCCCAGGCUCAGAGGGUGUGGGAUGUAGGGCCCUUCUGCCCUCAUUAGGCAAUCUGGAGCAUCAUCCACCAAAACCAGUCCAGGGUAUAGGGCGGCAAAGAGAAACUUCAAAUCACUUGAACUGCCUCUGUCCUUUCCACGUUCAUUCUUUUUGGCCUUGAAAGGCUCUUGGACCAAAGUCUCACUUUAUAUUAAAAACAACUACCACAAAGCCCUUCAGAUCAAAGCCUGACAUGGGCCAGGCUGUACUCCCUGUGGGUUGCCAGCACAGGACCCUGCCCAGGAUUCACCCUGCCCCAGUUUAACCAGUGGAGGCAGGAGAAGGAGCUGACUGUGCCAGGGAAGCAGCACCAACUUUCCCAGCCCCACACCCAACUGCUCCCCUUCGGUGCCUGCUGGUUUGGGAGACUUUGACUUGCAGCCUCCUUAACUGCUUCAUUUCUGCUAUUUUGCACUAUCCCACUCCCAGCAGCAUCACCAAACUCUCCAGCAGUGUGAAGGCGGGUGAGCUGAGAUGGCCCUGCUGCCAAGCUAAACAGCAUCAGGGCUCGUUUUACUGCUUAGAAAUCUGAAAGGAAUCAAGCAGGUCGAUGAAUAAUCCAGUUUAAAAAUCAUAACAGAGGGGCUGGGUAACUGUAUACAACACUGGCCUAAAUUCAUACAUCAAGUGACGAACUGUAAUGAAAAAUUAAAGGGCCCUGCUUGGCACAAGUUGGGUGCUGUAUGAUUUGAAUCUGGGAAGCUUCACAUGGAGCAGCUCUGCCCGUGUCCCUCGUGCCUGCACAGAAAUGGUGCAGGGGUUCAGACAACCUGCACAGGCAUCAAUUUUUUUCCCCCCAGCUUGUGGCUGUUCAAGCUCAGCAGUGCUAAAACGUGACAUGGGCUCGCAGAGGACACGUGCAGCCCGUGGAGUGAACUGCAACCUGAACAGCUCUCCCAGCAGCGGGGGCUCUGUGUCCUUCUAGCAAUAAAUUCCUCCUGGACAGUGUUUCGGGGGAUUGCUAGGAUUUGAGGAGAGAGGAGGCUGGCUGGAAGUGAGACAGGCUCCAGGUUUAUCCUUGAAAGCUCCUGCACUGCAGAGCCUGGGGCUGCCUUUGGCAGCCUGCCUGGAGGAAGAUGUCAGUGGAGGCUGAAGGCUGCCUCGUGCUGUAUGAACCCACCAAUCCCCUCCUCGGCCAGCUAAGUUGGAGAUAAAUCUCCCUAUUAGCAAUGCAUAAAGCAGGCCAAAAUUUGAACAGCUUCUUAAGCAGGAGGUGAAUCAAAAGCUCAAAAUUACUUAGAAUAAGUCCUUUCUGUGCUCCGGGCUAGAAAGUGGUUGUUUUGGAGCUUUCCCAUAGUGUGCCUGGCCUGCCCGCCGGGAGAGAGGGGUGCCGAGCAAGACAGCAAAAUCAGGUAAAAAAUAACCCCAUCCCCAACGUCAGCAGCAGAGCCGAGAGGAACCAGAAGUCCUGAGCUGUUUCGAAGUUGUGUUAAAUAAUAAAGCAGAGAAAUGAAUAAAUUAGCCGAGCAUCUAUUUAGGUCAGCCCUCUCCGUUUCUCCCGGCCGCCUCCGUGCGCCUCCUCCCCGCAGCCAUCAGCCGCUCGGUGCGCGCUGUGCCUGCGGCUCCGCUCCCUCCCGGGACCCGCCGGGCUCUCGGCUCAAGGACGGCUCGAGCAGGUGUCACAUCGCCUGCACACGUUCACCCCAGCCUUCGGAAGCGGCAGGCGAGCUUCCUUUUCCGUUUCUGGGGCAAGAAGUGUUCUGGAAAAUCCCGUUAAAGCAGCAGGCGUGGGCUGCGCACACGGCUGCUCCCUUCCUGGCGGAGCUGCAGGUCCUGCUCCUCACCCAGCUAUUUCCCAUUCCCAGCUCCCAGCCACGGCAGCACUUCCACCUUUGCAGGUCGUUCCCCACCUUGCAGGUGCCCCAGGCUCGGUUAUGUGAUUGCAGUUGUCAUCUUGAUUUGGGGACAUCCAGCCAGAUGGACCAGGCUGAUUGACACAGAUGGAGAAUCAGCUUUUAAACCCCUAAGCUCCCCUCAAAUAAUUCAAAUGCUUCCAGAAAAAUGGAACAACCACGCAGUUCUGUAUAUAUGUCCUUAUUUACAUGUUUCCCAAGCACGAAAAGCCCUCUUUGAUGCCCAGAACAUCUCGUGGGUUUCAGCUAUAAUCAAGCUAGAUAAACACUGACCAAGAUGGAAUUAGCUACAUCAAGGGCUGCUCCAUCUCAGCCCAACUCCUGCUGGUCCUCCCAAACCCCACAGGUAGCUGGAGAAGGUCUCCAGAGAUUAACCCAG
ensembl:lncRNA